rnacentral:tRNA from 1 species
AAAGACUGUAAAACUAUAAUUUACAUCUCCUGAAUGCAAUUCAGAUACUUUAAUUAAGCUAAAACCUC